rnacentral:rRNA from 1 species
AAAUUGAAGAGUUUGAUCAUGGCUCAGAUUGAACGCUGGCGGCAGGCCUAACACAUGCAAGUCGAACGGUAGCACAGAGAGCUUGCUCUCGGGUGACGAGUGGCGGACGGGUGAGUAAUGUCUGGGAAACUGCCUGAUGGAGGGGGAUAACUACCUGAUGGAGGGGGAUAACUA